rnacentral:rRNA from 1 species
GACGAACGCUGGCGGCGUGCUUAACACAUGCAAGUCGAACGGAAAGGCCCUGCUUUUGUGGGGUGCUCGAGUGGCGAACGGGUGAGUAACACGUGAGUAACCUGCCCUUGACUUUGGGAUAACUUCAGGAAACUGGGGCUAAUACCGGAUAGGAGCUCCUGCUGCAUGGUGGGGGUUGGAAAGUUUCGGCGGUUGGGGAUGGACUCGCGGCUUAUCAGCUUGUUGGUGGGGUAGUGGCUUACCAAGGCUUUGACGGGUAGCCGGCCUGAGAGGGUGACCGGCCACAUUGGGACUGAGAUACGGCCCAGACUCCUACGGGAGGCAGCAGUGGGGAAUACUGCACGAUGGGCGGAAGCCUGAUGCAGCAACGCCGCGUGCGGGAUGACGGCCUUCGGGUUGUAAGCCGCUUUCGCCUGUGACGAAGCGUGAGUGACGGUAAUGGGUAAAGAAGCACCGGCUAACUACGUG